rnacentral:tRNA from 1 species
CGGGGUUUAGCUCAGUUGGUAGAGCGUCAGUCUUCGGGGCUGAAGGCCCUUGGUUCAAAUCCAAGAACCUCGC